ACGGGGGCAGCAGUGGGGGAUAUUGCACAAUGGGGGAAACCCUGAUGCAGCAACGCCGCGUGAGGGAAGAAGGUUUUCGGAUUGUAAACCUCUGUUUUCGGUGACGAAACAAAUGACGGUAGCCGAAGAGGAAGCCACGGCUAACUACGUGCCAGCAGCCGCGGUAAUACGUAGGUGGCAAGCGUUGUCCGGAUUUACUGGGUGUAAAGGGUGCGUAGGCGGGACUGCAAGUUGGAUGUGAAAUACCGGGGCUUAACCCCGGAGCUGCAUCCAAAACUGUGGUUCUUGAGUGGAGUAGAGGUAAGCGGAAUUCCGAGUGUAGCGGUGAAAUGCGUAGAUAUUCGGAGGAACACCAGUGGCGAAGGCGGCUUACUGGACUCUAACUGACGCUGAGGCACGAAAGCAUGGGGAGCAAACAGGAUUAGAUACCCUGGUA
rnacentral:rRNA from 1 species